UGGCCGUGAUGACACAAAGGCCGGGCUUACGGCUGCUACUGCCCCUUUGGGCUGGUAGUAGGAUGAUGUGAGUUUACGAUAAAGGUGUUUGUGCUGAGCCUU
rfam:Corchorus capsularis cultivar CVL-1 contig06915, whole genome shotgun sequence.